AAAAUUCAACGGCCGCGGUACCCUAACCGUGCAAAGGUAGCACAAUCACUUGUUCCUUAAAUGGGGACUCGUAUCAACGGCAUAACGAGGGUCGCACUGUCUCCUCUCUCCAAUCAGUGAAACUGAUCCCCCCGUGAAAAAGCGGGGAUAAAAUUAUAAGACGAGAAGACCCCAUGGAGCUUCAAACCCUAAACAACUCAAUUACACCCCCCCCCCCAGCACAUUGAGAUAUGUACACAGGUUUUGGGUUGGGGUGACCACGGAGCAAAAACUAACCUCCAUGACGUAAAGAACUAAAUCUUUAUCUCAGAGCCACACCUCCAAGAAUUAGUAUACUAACGAAGUGACCCGACUAGAUCAACGAACCAAGUUACCCUGGGGAUAACAGCGCAAUCUACUUAAAGAGCCCCUAUCGACAAGUAGGCUUACGACCUCGAUGUUGGAUCAGGGCAUCCCGGCGGUGCAGCCGCUUCUA
rnacentral:rRNA from 1 species